rnacentral:rRNA from 1 species
GAUGAACGCUGGCGGCGUGCCUAACACAUGCAAGUCGAGCGAUUUACUUCGGUAAAGAGCGGCGGACGGGUGAGUAACGCGUGGGUAACCUGCCCUGUACACACGGAUAACAUACCGAAAGGUAUGCUAAUACGAGAUAAUAUGCUUUUAUCGCAUGGUAGAAGUAUCAAAGCUCCGGCGGUACAGGAUGGACCCGCGUCUGAUUAGCUAGUUGGUAAGGUAACGGCUUACCAAGGCGACGAUCAGUAGCCGACCUGAGAGGGUGAUCGGCCACAUUGGAACUGAGACACGGUCCAAACUCCUACGGGAGGCAGCAGUGGGGAAUAUUGCGCAAUGGAGGAAACUCUGACGCAGCGACGCCGCGUGAGCGAAGAAGGCCUUCGGGUCGUAAAGCUCUGUUCUUGGGGACGGAAUAAGGUGACGGUACCCAAGGAGAAAGCCCCGGCUAACUACGUG